rnacentral:rRNA from 1 species
GGGUCACAUUCCACGUGAUCCGUGACGAAGUUAACACAUUAAGCACCCCGCCUGGGGAGUACGGUCGCAAGACUAAAACUCAAAGGAAUUGACGGGGGCCCGCACAAGCGGCGGAGCAUGCGGAUUAAUUCGAUGCAACGCGAAGAACCUUACCAAGGCUUGACAUAUAGAGGAAAAGCGUAGAAAUACGCUCCCCGCAAGGUCUCUAUACAGGUGGUGCAUGGUUGUCGUCAGCUCGUGUCGUGAGAUGUUGGGUUAAGUCCCGCAACGAGCGCAACCCUCGUCCUAUGUUGCCAGCACGUAAUGGUGGGAACUCAUGGGAGACUGCCGGGGUCAACUCGGAGGAAGGUGGGGAUGACGUCAAAUCAUCAUGCCCCUUAUGUCUUGGGCUUCACGCAUGCUACAAUGGCCAGUACAAAGGGCUGCGAUACCGUAAGGUGGAGCGAAUCCCAUAAAGCUGGUCUCAGUUCGGAUUGAGGUCUGCAACUCGACCUCAUGAAGUCGGAGUCGCUAGUAAUCGUAGAUCAGCAACGCUACGGUGAAUACGUUCCCGGGCCUUGUACACACCGCCCGUCAAGUCACGAAAGUCGGUAACAC